rnacentral:rRNA from 1 species
UUGGAGGGCAAGUCUGGUGCCAGCAGCCGCGGUAAUUCCAGCUCCAAUAGCGUAUAUUAAAGUUGCUGCAGUUAAAAGGCUCGUAGUUGAAUUUCGGGACCAAUAUGUCGGUCGUGCCUCGGUACGUACUGGCAUCGUUGGUUUCUCCCUUCUGACGAACCAUGAUGUCAUUCAUUUGGUGUCGUGGGGAAUCAGGACUGUUACUUUGAAAAAAUUAGAGUGUUUAAAGCAGGCUCACGCUUGAAUACAUUAGCAUGGAAUAAUGAAAUAGGACGUUUGAUUCUAUUUUGUUGGUUUCUAGGAUCGACGUAAUGAUUAAUAGGGAUAGUUGGGGGCAUUAGUAUUCAAUUGUCAGAGGUGAAAUUCUUGGAUUUAUUGAAGACUAACUACUGCGAAAGCAUUUGCCAAGGAUGUUUUCAUUAAUCAAGAACGAAAGUUAGGGGAUCGAAGACGAUCAGAUACCGUCGUAGUCUUAACCAUAAACUAUGCCGACUAGGGAUCGGAUGAUGUUAAUUUUUUAAUGACUCAUUCGGCACCUUACGGGAAAC